CGACACCAUGGCCUGCAUCGCUGACGAGUGGCGGACGGGUGAGUAAUGUCUGGGAAACUGCCUGAUGGAGGGGGAUAACUACUGGAAACGGUGGCUAAUACCGCAUAACGUCGCAAGACCAAAGAGGGGGACCUUCGGGCCUCUUGCCAUCAGAUGUGCCCAGAUGGGAUUAGCUUGUUGGUGAGGUAACGGCUCACCAAGGCGACGAUCCCUAGCUGGUCUGAGAGGAUGACCAGCCACACUGGAACUGAGACACGGUCCAGACUCCUACGGGAGGCAGCAGUGGGGAAUAUUGCACAAUGGGCGCAAGCCUGAUGCAGCCAUGCCGCGUGUAUGAAGAAGGCCUUCGGGUUGUAAAGUACUUUCAGCGGGGAGGAAGGUGUUGUGGUUAAUAACCGCAGCAAUUGACGUUACCCGCAGAAGAAGCACCGGCUAACUCCGUGCCAGCAGCGCGGUAAUACGGAGGGUGCAAGCGUUAAUCGGAAUUACUGGGCGUAAAGCGCACGCAGGCGGUCUGUCAAGUCGGAUGUGAAAUCCCCGGGCUCAACCUGGGAACUGCAUUCGAAACUGGCAGGCUUGAGUCUUGUAGAGGGGGGUAGAAUUCCAGGUGUAGCGGUGAAUGCGUAGAGAUCUGGAGGAAUACCGGUGGCGAAGCGGCCCCCUGGACAAAGACUGACGCUCAGUGCGAAAGCGUGGGGAGCAAACAGGAUUAGAUACCCUGGUAGUCCACGCCGUAAACGAUGUCUACUGGAGGUUGUGCCUGAGGCGUGGCUUCCGGAGCUAACGCGUUAAGUAGACCGCCUGGGGAGUACGGCCGCAAGUAAACUCAUGACUGACGGGGACGACAACCGGUGAAACAUGUGGUUUAAUUCGAUGCAACGCGAAGAACCUUACCUGGUCUUGACAUCCACGGAAGUUUCCAGAGAUGGAUAUGUGCCUUCGGGAACCGUGAGACAGGUGCUGCAUGGCUGUCGUCAGCUCGUGUUGUGAAAUGUUGGGUUAAGUCCCGCAACGAGCGCAACCCUUAUCCUUUGUUGCCAGCGGUCCGGCCGGGAACUCAAAGGAGACUGCCAGUGAUAAACUGGAGGAAGGUGGGGAUGACGUCAAGUCAUCAUGGCCCUUACGACCAGGGCUACACACGUGCUACAAUGGCGCAUACAAAGAGAAGCGACCUCGCGAGAGCAAGCGGACCUCAUAAAGUGCGUCGUAGUCCGGAUUGGAGUCUGCAACUCGACUCCAUGAAGUCGGAAUCGCUAGUAAUCGUGGAUCAGAAUGCCCUCCCGUAUUGCGC
rnacentral:rRNA from 1 species